UACGGAGGGGGCUAGCGUUGUUCGGAAUUACUGGGCGUAAAGCGCACGUAGGCGGCUUUGUAAGUUAGAGGUGAAAGCCCGGGGCUCAACUCCGGAAUUGCCUUUAAGACUGCAUCGCUAGAAUUGUGGAGUGGUAAGUGGAAUUCCGAGUGUAGAGGUGAAAUUCGUAGAUAUUCGGAAGAACACCAGUGGCGAAGGCGACUUACUGGACACAUAUUGACGCUGAGGUGCGAAAGCGUGGGGAGCAAACAGG
rnacentral:rRNA from 1 species